AUACUAGUACAAUGAAAUGCAAGUUCUUUCAAAAGGUAACAAACGAAAUUAACAUAAGUUUCUCCACAAAUCCAAAUAAGAAUCCCAGUAAAACUGGGCAGCAAAAGAAGCAGCAUUGAGUUAAUCUGAGGCUCCCUCUUUUUUCUCUGUCUCUGAUGAUAGGUACCCCUGGCCCUUUGCCCAACGGGAGAGUUGAUACAGUUGCACAGUCUCGUUUGAAGCAUGACAAGCUAGAAGUAGAUAGUUGCGAGGUUGUACCAUCCAUGCAAACCUCAUGAACAAUGC
rnacentral:misc_RNA from 1 species